rnacentral:misc_RNA from 1 species
GAUGAAGAACGUAGUGAAAUGCGAUACGUAAUGUGAAUUGCAGAAUUCAGUGAAUCAUCGAGUCUUUGAACGCACAUUGCGCCCCCUGGUAUUCCGGGGGGCAUGCCUGUCCGAGCGUCAUUGCUGCCCUCAAGCACGGCUUGUGUGUUGGGCCUCCGUCCUCCUCCCGGGGGACGGGCCCGAAAGGCAGCGGCGGCACCGCGUCCGGUCCUCGAGCGUAUGGGGCUUCGUCACCCGCUCUUGUAGGCCCGGCCGGCGCUUGCCGACACACCAAUCUUUUUUCCAGGUUGACCUCGGAUCAGGUAGGGAUACCCGCUGAACUUAAGCAUAUCAAUAAGCGGAGGA